UGCUGGAGCGAAUAGAAGUGAGCAUGCAGGCAUGAGUAGCGAUAAUUAAUGUGAGAAUCAUUAACGCCGUAAACCCAAGGUUUCCUACGCGAUGCUCGUCAUCGUAGGGUUAGUCGGGUCCUAAGUCGAGUCCGAAAGGGGUAGACGAUGGCAAAUUGGUUAAUAUUCCAAUACCAACAUUAGUGUGCGAUGGAAGGACGCUUAGGGCUAAGGGGGCUAGCGGAUGGAAGUGCUAGUCUAAGGUCGUAGGAGGUUAUACAGGCAAAUCCGUAUAACAAUACUCCGAGAACUGAAAGGCUUUUUGAAGUCUUCGGAUGGAUAGAAGAACCCCUGAUGCCGUCGAGCCAAGAAAAGUUUCUAAGUUUAGCUAAUGUUGCCCGUACCGUAAACCGACACAGGUGGGUGGGAUGAGUAUUCUAAGGCGCGUGGAAGAACUCUCUUUAAGGAACUCUGCAAAAUAGCACCGUAUCUUCGGUAUAAGGUGUGGUUCGCUUUGUAUUAGGAUUUACUCCGAAAGCAAGGAAACUUACAACAAAGAGUCCCUCCCGACUGUUUACCAAAAACACAGCACUCUGCUAACUCGUAAGAGGAUGUAUAGGGUGUGACGCCUGCCCGGUGCUCGAAGGUUAAUUGAUGGGGUUAGCAUUAGCGAAGCUCUUGAUCGAAGCCCGAGUAAACGGCGGCCGUAACUAUAACGGUCCUAAGGUAGCGAAAUUCCUUGUCGGUUAAAUACCGACCUGCAUGAAUGGCGUAACGAGAUGGGAGCUGUCUCAAAGAGGGAUCCAGUGAAAUUGUAGUGGAGGUGAAAAUUCCUCCUACCCGCGGCAAGACGGAGAGACCCCGUGGACCUUUACUACAGCUUGACACUGCUACUUGGAUAAGAAUGUGCAGGAUAGGUGGGAGGCUUUGAGUAUAUGACGCCAGUUGUAUAUGAGCCAUUGUUGAGAUACCACUCUUUCUUAUUUGGGUAGCUAACCAGCUUGAGUUAUCCUCAAGUGGGACAAUGUCUGGUGGGUAGUUUGACUGGGGCGGUCGCCUCCCAAAUAAUAACGGAGGCUUACAAAGGUUGGCUCAGAACGGUUGGAAAUCGUUCGUAGAGUAUAAAGGUAUAAGCCAGCUUAACUGCAAGACAUACAAGUCAAGCAGAGACGAAAGUCGGUCUUAGUGAUCCGGUGGUUCUGUGUGGAAGGGCCAUCGCUCAAAGGAUAAAAGGUACCCCGGGGAUAACAGGCUGAUCUCCCCCAAGAGCUCACAUCGACGGGGAGGUUUGGCACCUCGAUGUCGGCUCAUCGCAUCCUGGGGCUGGAGCAGGUCCCAAGGGUAUGGCUGUUCGCCAUUUAAAGCGGUACGCGAGCUGGGUUCAGAACGUCGUGAGACAGUUCGGUCCCUAUCUGCCGUGGGCGUAAGAAGAUUGAAGAGAUUUGACCCUAGUACGAGAGGACCGGGUUGAACAAACCACUGGUGUAGCUGUUGUUCUGCCAAGAGCAUCGCAGCGUAGCUAAGUUUGGAAAGGAUAAACGCUGAAAGCAUCUAAGCGUGAAGCCAACUCUAAGAUGAAUCUUCUCUAAGCUCUCUAGAAGACUACUAGUUUGAUAGGCUGGGUGUGUAAUGGAUGAAAGUCCUUUAGCUGACCAGUACUAAUAGAGCGUUUGGCUUAUCUUU
rnacentral:rRNA from 1 species